rnacentral:rRNA from 1 species
GUGAACCUGCGGAAGGAUCAUUACCGAGUGCGGGUCCUUUGGGCCCAACCUCCCAUCCGUGUCUAUUGUACCCUGUUGCUUCGGCGGGCCCGCCGCUUGUCGGCCGCCGGGGGGGCGCCUCUGCCCCCCGGGCCCGUGCCCGCCGGAGACCCCAACACGAACACUGUCUGAAAGCGUGCAGUCUGAGUUGAUUGAAUGCAAUCAGUUAAAACUUUCAACAAUGGAUCUCUUGGUUCCGGCAUCGAUGAAGAACGCAGCGAAAUGCGAUAACUAAUGUGAAUUGCAGAAUUCAGUGAAUCAUCGAGUCUUUGAACGCACAUUGCGCCCCCUGGUAUUCCGGGGGGCAUGCCUGUCCGAGCGUCAUUGCUGCCCUCAAGCCCGGCUUGUGUGUUGGGUCGCCGUCCCCCUCUCCGGGGGGACGGGCCCGAAAGGCAGCGGCGGCACCGCGUCCGAUCCUCGAGCGUAUGGGGCUUUGUCACAUGCUCUGUAGGAUUGGCCGGCGCCUGCCGACGUUUUCCAACCAUUCUUUCCAGGUUGACCUCGGAUCAGGUAGGGAAACCCGCUGAACUUAAGCAUAUCAAUAAG